UAAGGAAUAUUCCACAAUGGGCGCAAGCCUGAUGGAGCGACGCCGCGUGAGCGAAGAAGCACUUCGGUGUGUAAAGCUCUUUUCUCAGGGAUGAUAAUGACAGUACCUGGGGAAUAAGCCCCGGCUAACUACGUGCCAGCAGCCGCGGUAAUACGUAGGGGGCGAGCGUUGUCCGGAUUUACUGGGCGUAAAGAGCGUGUAGGUGGUACGAAUAGUCUGCUGUGAAAGCGCCCGGCUCAACUGGGCGAGGUCAGUGGAAACUGUCGCACUAGAGGACGGUAGAGGAGAGUGGAAUUCCCGGUGUAGUGGUGAAAUGCGUAGAGAUCGGGAGGAACACCAGCGGCGAAGGCGGCUCUCUGGGCCGCUCCUGACACUGAGACGCGAAGGCCAGGGGAGCGAACGG
rnacentral:rRNA from 1 species